UCAAGUUAUUAAGGGUGCAGGGCGGAUGCCUUGGCACUAGGAGCCGAUGAAGGACGUGAUAAGCUGCGAUAAGCUUCGGGGAGUUGCACGUAAACUUUGAUCCGAAGAUUUCCGAAUGAGGAAACUCACUUAGAGUAAUGUCUAAGUAUCAUUAAGUGAAUACAUAGCUUAAUGAGGGGAACUCAGGGAACUGAAACAUCUAAGUACCUGAAGGAAGAGAAAAAAUUCGAUUCCGUAAGUAGCGGCGAGCGAACGCGGAUUAGCCCAAACCAAUAAAGUUUUCUUUAUUGGGGUUGCGGACAUAUUCAUAACGAAGAGGUAUCGUAAUUGAAGAGGUUUGGAAAGACCCACCACAGAAGGUAAUAGUCCUGUAUGUUAAACGAGAAGACUUUAGAUAUGAUCCAGAGUACCACGGGACACGUGAAACCCUGUGGGAAGCAGGAGGGACCACCCUCCAAGGCUAAAUACUACCUAGUGACCGAUAGCGUAUAGUACCGUGAGGGAAAGGUGAAAAGAACCCCGGGAGGGGAGUGAAAUAGAACCUGAAACCCUGCACUUACAAGCUGUGGAAGCACAUUUCUUGUGUGACCGCGUACUUUUUGUAGAACGGGCCAACGAGUUACGUUAAGUAGCAAGGUUAAGCACUUAAGGUGCGGAGCCGUAGCGAAAGCGAGUUUUAACUGAGCGUUCAGUUACUUGACGUAGACCCGAAACCGGGCGACCUACCCAUGAGCAGGAUGAAGCGAAAGUAAAAUUUCGUGGAGGUCCGAACCCACGAGCGUUGAAAAGCUCGGGGAUGACUUGUGGGUAGCGGUGAAAUUCCAAUCGAGCCCGGAGAUAGCUGGUUCUCCCCGAAAUAGCUUUAGGGCUAGCCUCAAGGUGAGAGAUACGGAGGUAGAGCACUGAAUGUCCUAGGGGGUAUUGCACCUACCGAAGACUAUCAAACUCCGAAUGCCGUCAUCUUAUACUUGGGAGUCAGACUGUGGGUGAUAAGAUUCAUAGUCGAAAGGGCAACAGCCCAGAUCGUCAGCUAAGGUCCCUAAAUGUAAGUUAAGUGGUAAAGGAUGUGGGAUUGCACAGACAACCAGGAUGUUGGCUUAGAAGCAGCCACUCAUUCAAAGAGUGCGUAAUAGCUCACUGGUCGAGUGAUCCUGCGCCGAAGAUUUCCGGGGCUAAAACUUACUACCGAAGCUACGGCAUCAGUAAUGAUGGGUAGGGGAGCUUCCCAUACGGGUUGAAGCAUGACCGUAAGGACAUGUGGACAGUAUGGGAGUGAGAAUGUUGGCAUGAGUAGCGAGAUGUGGGUGGGAAUCCCACAGGCCGUAAACCCAAGGUUUCCAGGGGAAGGUUCGUCCGCCCUGGGUUAGUCGGGACCUAAGCUGAGGCCGAAAGGCGUAGGUGAUGGACAACAGGUUGAUAUUCCUGUACUACCGAUAACCGUUUGAGAGAAGGGAUGACACAGUAGGAUAAGCUAAGCACACUGUUGGUUAUGUGUGCCCAAGCAUUGAGGCAGUCAAAGUAGGCAAAUCCGCUUUGAUAAUGCUGGGAUGUGAUGGGGAGCGAAAUUUAGUAGCGAAGUAGCUGAUUUCACACUGUCAAGAAAAGUCUCUAUCGAGGUUAAAGGUACCCGUACCGCAAACCGACACAGGUGGGUGAGGAGAGUAUCCUAAGGCCAGCGAGAGAACUGUUGUUAAGGAACUCGGCAAAAUGACCCCGUAACUUAGGGAUAAGGGGUGCCACCAUCAGGUGGCCGCAGAGAAUAGGCCCAAGCGACUGUUUACCAAAAACAUAGGUUUCUGCUAAGUCGCAAGACGAUGUAUAGGAGCUGACGCCUGCCCGGUGCUGGAAGGUUAAGGGGAUCUGUUAGAGCAAUCGAAGCAGUGAACUUAAGCCCCAGUAAACGGCGGCCGUAACUAUAACGGUCCUAAGGUAGCGAAAUUCCUUGUCGGGUAAGUUCCGACCCGCACGAAAGGCGUAACGAUUUGGGCACUGUCUCAACAACAGACUCGGUGAAAUUGUAAUUCCGGUGAAGAUGCCGGAUACCUGCGACAGGACGGAAAGACCCCAUGGAGCUUUACUGUAGCUUGACAUUGGGUCUUGGUACUACAUGUACAGGAUAGGUGGGAGGCUUUGAAACCAGGACGCCAGUUUUGGCGGAGCCAUCCUUGGGAUACCACCCUUGUAGUACUGGGACUCUAACCAUAGGCCAUGAAUCUGGUCUUGGGACACUGUCAGGUGGGCAGUUUGACUGGGGCGGUCGCCUCCCAAAAGGUAACGGAGGCGCUCAAAGGUUCUCUCAGUACGGUCGGAAAUCGUACGUAGAGUGUAAAGGCAAAAGAGAGCUUGAUUGCAAGACAUACAGGUCGAGCAAGGAUGAAAAUCGGACUUAGUGAUCCGGUGGUUCUGCGUGGAAGGGCCAUCGCUCAACGGAUAAAAGCUACCCUGGGGAUAACAGGCUUAUCUCCCCCAAGAGUCCACAUCGACGGGGAGGUUUGGCACCUCGAUGUCGGCUCAUCACAUCCUGGGGCUGUAGUAGGUCCCAAGGGUUGGGCUGUUCGCCCAUUAAAGUGGUACGCGAGCUGGGUUCAGAACGUCGUGAGACAGUUCGGUCCCUAUCCGUCGCAGGCGUAGGAAAUUUGAGAAGACCUGUCCUUAGUACGAGAGGACCGGGAUGGACGUACCUCUGGUGUACCAGUUGUUCUGCCAAGGGCAUGGCUGGGUAGCUAUGUACGGAAUGGAUAAGCGCUGAAAGCAUCUAAGCGCGAAGCCAACUUCAAGAUAAGAUUUCCCACCGCAAGGGUAAGACCCCAGAAAGACUAUCUGGUUGAUAGGUCGAAGGUGUAAGUGCAGCAAUGUAUUUAGCUUAUCGAUACUAAUAGGUCGAGGACUUGACCAA
rnacentral:rRNA from 1 species